AUUAUAUUUUAAAUACUGAUUAAAUUUCAUUAAUUAAUAUUAAUAUGUAUUUAAUAUUAAAGGAUUGUUUUAGAAUAUAAAGAAAAGAAUGUUAGUCAAUAUGCCUUGUACCACUUACCAUAAACAUUUUUUAGGCUAUAGCAAAAUUGUAUAUAGCUUUAGAAUUCCUCCCCUUCCAUUAGAUAUAAUGCUGAAUUUUUCCCGUCAAAUUUAAUGAACAUACAGGAGUAAAUUUGAACAUAUGAGAUACAUUUUGAAAUGAAAUAUUACUCUUGUGUAUAUUGGGGCUGAACACUUAGAUAAAAGGAAUUUUUAAGGGGGUAUCAUUUAAUGUCAAGAGACUGAUCAAGAAAACUAAUUUUUACAAAUAAAAUUAAUACACCACUGUACUUUGAAAUUAUUUAUAUUUUGUUGACCAUGCACUUUAAAAAUUAUUUUUAUUUUUAUUCAAGUAAAGAUCAGAAUUUUCUUGUUCAAGAACCUUGUUUAUAGCUUUUAAUCUUCUCUGUGAAAAAAUGAUGCAAAGAAGAGUCCAGAACCUCGAUUUAUUUUCUUGUCAAAUAGACAAAGGUGACAACGAACUGGGGCUUUGUACUUGUAUCUUCUUUGAUCCAGCAGAUGAGGAUGGAAAGGAACCAGGGGUUUUUAUAACUGAAAUUAUUGAAGGAGGUGCAGUUCACAAACUUGGAUGUAUCCGUGUAUUUGACCAGAUUAUUAAAAUAGGUGACAUCAAUCUAAUUGGAUUGGAUGAAGCAGAAAUCGUCUCUAUUUUUAAAAAAAUGGACGAUUCUCCUUUCCAGAUUGAAUUUGGCCGCGAACCACCUGAAGUCAAGUCAGAACUUAUAGUACUCCUCAAGUUGUCAGAGGAAAGGAAGAAAUAUUUUAUGAAUUCACUCAUAGUACAGGUAUUAUGUGAACCAAAUAAAAAAAUGCAGAAACUCAAAAUUCUUUCUUUUUUAUCAUAACAAUAUUAAAAGUAAAAUUUUGUUCUUUAAAAAGUUUCCUUUCCUACUCUUGAGUAACUUCAUCUUAAUUUAUUACAUACUUUUUUAUUGUUGCUCUUUUAUGCAAUUUUAUCAAUGUCUCUGAGAUUUACAUUCUAAUCUUCUCUGAUGCACUCCAACCUUCACCACUGAAUUAUCAUUUGUAGUAUAGAGAAUGAAUUAAGCAAAACUGAACAAUAAAUACACAACUGAAUCUGAUAGUUUUUGCUCC
rnacentral:lncRNA from 1 species